rnacentral:rRNA from 1 species
GAUGAACGCUGGCGGCGUGCCUAACACAUGCAAGUCGAACGGAGUUUAACGCUGAUGAAGCUUCGGCAGAUUCUUGUUAAACUUAGUGGCGGACGGGUGAGUAACGCGUGGGUAACCUGCCUCAUACAGGGGGAUAGCAGUUGGAAACGACUGAUAACACCGCAUAAGCGCACAGGAUCGCAUGAUCUAGUGUGAAAAUAUUUAUAGGUAUGAGAUGGACCCGCGUCUGAUUAGCUAGUUGGUGAGGUAACGGCCCACCAAGGCGACGAUCAGUAGCCGGCCUGAGAGGGCGGACGGCCACAUUGGGACUGAGACACGGCCCAAACUCCUACGGGAGGCAGCAGUGGGGGAUAUUGCACAAUGGGCGAAAGCCUGAUGCAGCGACGCCGCGUGAGUGAAGAAGUAUUUCGGUAUGUAAAGCUCUAUCAGCAGGGAAGAAAGACCUCGUAAGAGG